GAUGAACGCUGGCGGCGUGCCUAAUACAUGCAAGUCGAGCGAACGGACGAGAAGCUUGCUUCUCUGCUGUUAGCGGCGGACGGGUGAGUAACACGUGGAUAACCUACCUAUAAGACUGGGAUAACUUCGGGAAACCGGAGCUAAUACCGGAUAAUAUUUUGAACCGCAUGGUUCAUAAGUGAAAGACGGUCUUGCUGUCACUUAUAGAUGGAUCCGCGCUGCAUUAGCUAGUUGGUAAGGUAACGGCUUACCAAGGCAACGAUGCAUAGCCGACCUGAGAGGGUGAUCGGCCACACUGGAACUGAGACACGGUCCAGACUCCUACGGGAGGCAGCAGUAGGGAAUCUUCCUCAAUGGGCGAAAGCCUGACGGAGCAACGCCGCGUGAGUGAUGAAGGUCUUCGGAUCGUAAAACUCUGUUAUUAGGGAAGAACAUAUGUGUAAGUAACUGUGCACAUCUUGACGGUACCUAAUCAGAAAGCCACGGCUAACUACGUG
rnacentral:rRNA from 1 species